rnacentral:rRNA from 1 species
AUUGAACGCUGGCGGCAGGCCUAACACAUGCAAGUCGAACGGUAGCACAGAGAGCUUGCUCUUGGGUGACGAGUGGCGGACGGGUGAGUAAUGUCUGGGAAACUGCCCGAUGGAGGGGGAUAACUACUGGAAACGGUAGCUAAUACCGCAUAACGUCUUCGGACCAAAGUGGGGGACCUUCGGGCCUCACACCAUCGGAUGUGCCCAGAUGGGAUUAGCUAGUAGGUGGGGUAAAGGCUCACCUAGGCGACGAUCCCUAGCUGGUCUGAGAGGAUGACCAGCCACACUGGAACUGAGACACGGUCCAGACUCCUACGGGAGGCAGCAGUGGGGAAUAUUGCACAAUGGGCGCAAGCCUGAUGCAGCCAUGCCGCGUGUAUGAAGAAGGCCUUCGGGUUGUAAAGUACUUUCAGCGGGGAGGAAGGCGUUAAGGUUAAUAACCUGGGCGAUUGACGUUACCCGCAGAAGAAGCACCGGCUAACUCCGUGCCAGCCGCCGCCGUAA